GCACCCGUGGCGCAACUGGAUAGCGCACCAGAUUCCGAUUCUGGCGGUUACAGGUUCGAUUCCUGUCGGGUGCGCCA
rnacentral:tRNA from 1 species